ACUAUCAUUGCAGAGAGAAAACAUCAAUAAGCUAAAACAUAAAAUUAAAACCGAAGGCCAGUUGGAGAUCGAAUAGUGCACUAAAGCGUUGGGUGAAUUGAUCAUAGCAGAUGCCAGGUUGGCUAUUUUCUUAGAAGAGCAAUUUUUAGAACUUCUUGUUGACUUUCUCCCUGCUGAACAAAAUCAAGUGCUUCAGGCUCUCUGGUUAUUACGCAGUAUCGUUUCCUCAUCAUCCUAAAAUUAAGAUCAUGAUUGAAGAAACUUUGGAGAGUAUAGUUCAUUUCUUCAGUGAACACUUUCAUGAUAAUCAGGUGUCAUGUAGUGAGGACUCUAUUGAUUACAAGGUGUUACGCGGCGGGAGUGUGACUUUGGCAGCUGUUUGUCAAGUGCAUCCACAACUUCCUCUUGAUAAGGUUAGUUAUUUUUAAUUGAUAAUUCUAACAGCUUUAUAAAUUAAUUUAUAAACAAAUCUUUUUCGGUAUUAACUUUAGCCAUUGGCAGUUAGAGUUGGCUCUUAAGCUAUUCGAAAGGUUUUUCGAUAUGAAAAUUAUGAAAUUGUGUCAAAGCAUGCAAAUGAUUUUCUGAUCUGUGUGAUGGAAGUAAAAGGGGUGGUAGUUGAUUGUGAUUACCUCAACUAUGUUGUUGAGUGACUCAUUGUGCUGAUUGAGUAAGUUUAUCGAGUAUAAUUCACUCCUGUUUAACUUUAAAGAAAUGAAAACUGGGUUCAUAUUUAAUUUAUUUAUUUGUGUUACUGUUCACUAUCACGUGUCAAUAUCAUUCUUAGACUUAAAGCUAGGGGCAGAUCCUGCUAGGGGCAAGAAGGUCAGUCGAUCCCCGUUAAAUUUUUGUCCUUAAUUUUACAUAAUUAUAUAAUGUUGUGCAACGGUAAAAUAUUAUAUAAUAUAACUAUUAAAUUUUUGUUUUCUAUGUUAUCAUUAUGGUAUUGAACAUUGUAAUCAAAAUAGACAUGACUUAUUUAUAUUGUGCAACGGUAAAUAAUUACAUAAUAUGAAUAUUAAAAUUUUGUUUUCUGUGUUAUCAUUCCAAUUAAUAAUCAGUAAAAAAUAUUAUAUACGACUUCUCUUACUUUUGGAACUGGAUCCGCCACUGUUUAAAGCAAU